UUUGUGGGAAUGCCUUUUUAUUUUAAUAAAAAGAGUAUAUUAGGUUUAACUUUAUAUAUUAUUUUUAUUAAAUUAAGAAUUCAAUACCUUUGAAUGUAAUUCUAGAUAAAAUAUUGAUAAUGACAAAGUUUUAUCUAUAUGUCUUGACCAAAUCUUGUGCCAGCAGUCGCGGCAACACAAGGAAGACAAGUGUUAUUCAUCUUAAAUCGGUUUAAAGGGUACCUAGACGGUGAAUUAGGCCUUAAAUGGAACGUUUUUACUAGAGUUAUAUAUGCAUGAGGACUGUGUGAGUAUUACCAGAGUAGAGAUGUAAUUUUUUGAUACUGUUAAGACUGGUAAAGGCAAAAGCAAACCUUUAUAUAUUAACUGACGUUGAGGGACGAAGGCUUGGGGCGCAAACAGGAUUAGAUACCCCAGUAGUCCAGGCAGAGAAUUAUGAAUGUCAUA
rnacentral:rRNA from 1 species